rnacentral:rRNA from 1 species
UACAGAGGUCCCGAGCGUUGUUCGGAUUCACUGGGCGUAAAGGGUGCGUAGGUGGUGGGGUAAGUCUGAUGUGAAAUCUCUGAGCUCAACUCAGAAAUUGCAUUAGAAACUACCUUGCUAGAGGAUUGGAGGGGGGACUGGAAUUCUCGGUGUAGCAGUGAAAUGCGUAGAUAUCGAGAGGAACACCUGCGGCGAAGGCGGGUUGCUGGGCUGAUACUGACGCUGAGGCGCGAAAGCCAGGGGAGCGAACAGG